rnacentral:rRNA from 1 species
GACGAACGCUGGCGGCGUGCUUAACACAUGCAAGUCGGACGGUAGGCACUGGAAGGUUCGCUGGAAGGUGCUGAUAGUGGCGGACGGGUGAGUAACGCGUGAGGACAUGUCUGCAGGAGGGGGAUAACGUUCGGAAACGGACGCUAAGACCCCGUAAGCCGGGGGGUGAAAGUGGGGAAAGCCAGCCUGUGGAGUGACGCGCGGCCUAUCAGGUAGUUGGCGGGGUGAAGGCCCACCAAGGGGAUGACGGGUAGCCGACCUGAGAGGGUGGCCGGCCACACUGGAACUGAGAUACGGUCCAGACUCCUACGGGAGGCAGCAGUGGGGAAUAUUGGGCAAUGGGCGGAAGCCUGACCCAGCGACGCCGCGUGGGGGAAGAAGUCUUUCGGGAUGUAAACCCUUGUUGUACGGGACGAAGGAAGUGACGGUACCGUACAAGGAAGCCCCGGCAAACUACGUGCCAGCAGCCGCAGUAAUAC